CAGAUCCCUAUGGGAUGCAGCAGUGGGGAAUAUUGCACAAUGGGGGAAACCCUGAUGCAGCGACGCCGCGUGAGUGAAGAAGUAUUUCGGUAUGUAAAGCUCUAUCAGCAGGGAAGAAAAUGACGGUACCUGACUAAGAAGCCCCGGCUAACUACGUGCCAGCAGCCGCGGUAAUACGUAGGGGGCAAGCGUUAUCCGGAUUUACUGGGUGUAAAGGGAGCGUAGACGGUGACGCAAGUCAGAAGUGAAAUCCCGGGGCUUAACCCCGGAACUGCUUUUGAAACUGUGUAACUAGAGUGCAGGAGAGGUAAGCGGAAUUCCUAGUGUAGCGGUGAAAUGCGUAGAUAUUAGGAGGAACACCAGUGGCGAAGGCGGCUUGCUGGACUGUAACUGACGUUGAGGCUCGAAAGCGUGGGGAGCAAACAGGAUUAGAUACCCGAGUAGUCCA
rnacentral:rRNA from 1 species